GUGUGCUGCCGUGGAGUUAAAUGACGAUGACUGCCCUUGUAGGUGGAGUGCUUACAGACCAGUUAAUUCAUCACAGACCUGCCCCGCCCCACGGACAAAGUCUCCCAACUUCACAUCUUUCCGGUCCUCUGCAUAUACCUAACGGAAGUCUACAAACACAAAUACAGACCGGAGCUGGGGUCGGGUCCGGGAUCCCCCUAAAGAGUCACGACACCGUUAAGUUGUUUGUUGGACAGAUACCUCGAACCCUUGAAGAGAAGGAGUUGCGCCCAAUUUUUGAAGAAUUUGGACAAAUAUAUGAAUUGACCGUUCUUAAGGACAGAUUCACUGGCAUACAUAAAGGAUGUGCCUUUCUGACUUACUGUCACAAAGAGAGCGCUCUGAAGGCACAGCAAGCCCUGCACGAACAGAAGACCCUGCCGGGGAUGAACCGUCCAAUCCAGGUGAAACCGGCAGACAGCGAGAACCGGGCGGAAGACAGAAAGCUUUUCGUGGGCAUGCUCAACAAGCAACAAACGGAAGAUGACGUCAGACAGUUGUUCCAGCCAUUCGGAAAUAUAGAGGAAUGCACAAUAUUAAGGGACCAAAAUGGAAACAGCAAAGGUUGUGCUUUUGUUAAAUACUCUGGUCACAACGAAGCCCAGUCGGCCAUUAACGCCCUACAUGGAAGUCAAACGAUGCCGGUAAUGCUUGGCGCUUCUUCUAGUCUCGUAGUGAAGUUUGCGGACACCGAGAAAGAACGACAACUCCGUAGAAUGCAGCAAAUGGCGGGGCCAUUGGGGUUGCUUAAUCCCUUUGCUAUUUCACAGAUUGGUGCAUACGGUGCUUACGCCCAGUACGAUCCCUUACAGCAACAAGCUGCUUUGAUGGCAGCGGCAGCGACACAGGGAACAUAUUUAACUAGUCCCGUUUCCACUUUGGCUCACAUUCCACAGGUCGGCGCCCUAGCCACGCCCAACGGCAUCACAACGGGCGCCUUAACACCUACGACUGCCACGUUAGCUAACGGUACCACGGCUAUAAAUGGAGCGCCCCCUAGCGUGUUGUCGCCUACCGCCUUGGCAGGUUUUCAGAUUCCGCAACAUAACGGACAGACCCCAGAAAUCUACGCCAAUGGCAUUCCCCAUUAUCCGGGCGAGUGUCAGGUGGUUGAACUAGCCCAAGCCGUCACGAAUGGGGAUCCACUACAAGCUUAUGCCAGCAUGCAGCCAUAUGCCGGGAUUGCCUACCCAACAUACGGAGUACAGCAAGCAUUAGCCCAACACACCGCCAUCUUACCUGCCCAGAAGGAAGUUGUCUUUACAGGCCCAGAGGGCUGUAACCUCUUCAUCUAUCACCUACCCCAGGAAUUUGGAGACGCCGAACUGGCACAGAUGUUCAUGCCAUUCGGAACAGUUAUUAGUGCUAAGGUGUACGUGGAUAGAGCUACCAAUCAGAGCAAGUGCUUCGGAUUUGUUAGCUUUGACAACCCUACGAGCGCCCAGGCGGCAAUCCAGGCGAUGAACGGCUUCCAAAUCGGCAUGAAGAGACUCAAAGUUCAGCUGAAACGCCCCAAGGAUCAAAAUCGACCGUACUAAAGCUCCCACACUCUAGUUCUUAAGCUCAGGGACAACAACUCCUGCUUGUCUCAAACAAAGAGAGAUAACUCUGAUUCAAGCCAGGAAGACGUAUGAAUGGAACACACUACGAGGGACGUGACUCUGACGAUAACAGAGUACCUAAGGGAGACUACCCUAUACAUGACUUUAUCUGUAAAUAAUUUUCAUAACAAAUUUUUUUUAUUUUCUUAAAAAAGAACGUGUUCCCACCGUUUUUGUAAAUUACUGAAUGUUGUAGACUGUUCAACACGACUCAUUACGAGAGCUGUGUUACGGUGUGUAAAGAGACCGCAUUAUUUGGACGUAAACGACAUUUUCCCACCUUGCUUAUUUAUUAUAUUUUAUAAAAAUUAGUUUUAGUUACAUUGAAAUGUUUAUGAUAUAUAUUAUAUGUUAUAUAUUUAUUAUAUUUGACACAGUGUGUAUAUUUGCCCCAUAUAAAACAACCAUCAAGUUUUGAUGGGUCUUAUUUCGCUGGUAAACAUUCCAUGUUUUGUGAAGAUCGUACUACGAGAUGCCAUUGAUGUAAUUUCAACAGCAUUUUAAUGACUUUUUAUGUGUUAAGGUGUAAUUUUUACAAGAGAAUAUUUUCAAAUCAAAUAUUUAUAUAUUAUCAUAUAUAUUAUGUAUACGCACUGUGUAUUACUUCAUAUUAACGAUAGGCGGCCGCUCAUUGGAUGUUGUGAUUGGUUGCCAUGGACACCCUAGCUGUUGUCAGAUUUUUAAUGUUCACACGGUAGACAGUCAGCUCUGAAGAGUUUUGUGUAAUCUAGUGACAAAUUCAAUGUUGUUUUAUUUUUUAACAUCAAUGUAAAUUUGUUUUUCAGUAAGUGACAGUGUUUUAUUUUGGUGAAUCCUUGGUUGUUUUACAUGGGGAAAAUAUGUACAAAUUACUUGUAUAUAUCUUGAACAAAUGCAUUCCUGGUCAUUUUCAUUCAAUCCUGUCAUGAUAUCAUGUUGUGCCCUGGUCAGCCUCGUUUUCAUACCGGGCAGGGAUCAAAGUUCACAUUGUUGUUCAUUAUAUGAAAUUUUCUUGUUAAUGAUUUAAUCCAACACACGAUCAGCUUGGAUGUUAUUAAUUUGUUGACUGGCCCCUGUUUUUAUCGAUGGACAGAGAGUUUGUUAAUUAUUACUGGAACAAAGAACGUAUUUAUUUAUUUAUUUAUAUUUAUUUGUUUUAAAUAUCAUCAAGACAUUUUGUACAUAUGUAGUUUAGACCUGCAAUUCUACUUAGUUCACUUGGCAUAACAGUGUUCUCCGCCUAACAUGACAUACUAUUUUUGUUUUUGUUACAUAUUUAACUACGGUUAUACGGCAAAGGUCUGUAAAUAUUUGAACAGACUGAGUUUUGGAUACAAUGCCGGUUGUACAUUUAGUUAGCUUGUAUUUUGUCUUAAAAGGUCACAGCUGGUGAGUUCAGUGUUAUGUUACUUUAUAGAUUUGAAAAAUCCCAAGAAUGUGCAAUAUUUUAUAUAUAUUAGAGAUCAUAUAUCUAGUCAGGCAUUUAUUCACCUGAGAAAGACUCGUUGUUCCAACGUUGUGUUUGACCAUGUCCUUAGAAGACAUGUGAAGUUGGGUUAAUUGUACUUAACAUUGGGUAUGUGUACGUAUUUUUUUUUUUAAAUAUUAUUAAUUCUCAGGUGAGGAGUGCUGUUUUGAAAAAGAAAAUAUAAUUGGUGCAAUCUUUUAUAGCAAAAUUUCGUAUUUACUCGUGAAACUCUUGCAUAAUUGUGACAGUAAUGUCUCUUGUGUUUUUGGAGGACCUAAGAAUCUCAGUGAAUGUAACGGUAGAGACACUCGUGUCACCGACAAUUGAUACCAGGUUCUCCUGGUCUGUUUAGAUCUCGUGAUGUCUCGCCGCAUUCGCCCUCUGACGUGAGAACUAUUUUUGUUGGAUUAGAACAGAUUUUGUACACUUUGUUUUAUACUACUUUCUCUUGUACAUUUCUCUUUUCCUUUUCUUGAAUGUGUCAAUCUUUCCAAUGAGUAUUGAAUAUUUAUAAUGGAAGAGAAAAGAUUUUUUUUUCAAACAUAAUUUAUCCCAUUUGUAGAUGACGCACUCGUCAGAACAAUCAUGGCCUAGCAUGAUUCAUUAGCCUCAUAGUUAGACAUUACAUAUAGCUGAUUGUAAAAAGAAGCGAUAAAAUAAAAUAGUCAAUCAUACUGCAAGACU